UGUCGUCAGCGCAGACUGCUGGAUAUCUGCUGGAAACCACAGCUUCAGCUCCACGAUAUAGUCCUCCCCCAGCAUUGGGUGACUCAAGAGGAUCUCCACAACCAGCAGAGGAACUUCAGAGUGGAAAAGGAAGAACUCAGAUCUCCUCAGGUUGAAAGGGAACAGGAGGAACCAGAACCUCCACAGAUCAAGGAUGAGCAGGAAGAGCUCUGCAUCAGUCAGGUUGAAGAGCUGCUUAAUGUAAAGCAGGAGACUGAUACCUUGAUGGAGAUUCCUAUUUAUGUGGAAAAUAUGUACAGCACAACAGAUCUAAACAGUCAACAGAGUUUUUAUGCCACUGAUAGUCAGGAUGAAGAAGGAAGCGCACCUGAAGAAUCAACAUCAACUCCAGAUGAAGAGACAGAGCCACAGAACAGAGAUCAGAGGAAGAGAAGAGACAGAAGUCAUGUCCAAAGUGUGGCCAGCUCUCACAUGUCAGAAGGUCAGUGUGACUCUGAUUUUGGAAAAAUAUCCAAGACUGUAAGUGUCUUAAAGAUACAGGAACAAUCUCGAAAAGAAAAGAGUUUUUCCUUUAUUAAGCCUGUUAAAAGAGCAAAAAUUGCACACGGUGUGUUAUUCCAAAGGGGAACUCAGGCUAAUAAAAGACUUGUCUUCUGUGAA